rnacentral:rRNA from 1 species
GACGAACGCUGGCGGCGCGCUUAACACAUGCAAGUCGAACGGAAAGGCCUGCUUUCCCUUGUGGAUUGCGGGUACUCGAGUGGCUAACGGGUGAGUAACACGUUGGUGAUCUGCCCCCAACUUGGGUAUAAGCCUGGGAAACUGGGUCUAAUUCCCGAUAGGACUGCAGGGUGGUGCCUGUCGUGGACUACGAUUUUCUAGUGGUUGGGGAUGGGCUCGCGGCCUAUCAGCUUGUUGGCGGGGUAAAGGCCUGCCAAGGCGGCGACGGGUAGCCGGCCUGAGAGGGUUGACAGACACAGUGGGACUGGGACACGACCCAGACGCCUACGGGAGGCAGCAGUGGGGAAUAUAGGAGAAUGAGCGGAAGCCUGCAGCAGCGACGCUGCGUGGGAGAUGACGGCAUUCGAGAUGUAAACUCCUUUCGACCGCGAGGAAGCCACCUGGUUGGAAGGGUGGUGACGGUAGUGGUAGAAGAAGCACCGGCUAACUACGUG